rnacentral:lncRNA from 1 species
UUGAGGAUCAAGAAACAACCACGAAGCAUUCUCAGAUCCUUUCUACUGUGCCAUCCUGUCUCUUGUGCAGAUGAAUAGGAAGGAAGAGAAAGUUUGUGCAAUGCACAGUUCCCUGGCCUUCAGUCUCUCCUUACUCAGCUUAGAGACAAAAGUCAGAGUGUGGGGACAGUGUACACACAUCCUGAACUGAAAAACAAAGACCAACAACAGAAAGCUGUUCUCCGUGGCCUGGUGUGAUUAGAGGGCUGAAAUGACAGGCAUGGACCACCACCCCAGAUUUGGUGGGGGAAGCAUUCUGCCGUAGCACCAAUGUGGAAGUCAGAAGACAAUUUGCAAAAGCUGGUUUUCUUCUUCUGCCAUGUGAGUCCCAAGGAAUGAAUUCAGGUCACCUGGCUUGGUGGUGAGUGCCUUUACCCACUGAGCCAUCUCACAGGUCCUCAGAGAACAACUUUUGAUGGUCAUUUCUUUCCUACCACCAAGGAUUCUAGGAAUCAAAUUCAGGUCAUCAGGUGUGGUGGUUUGUAUAUGCUUGGCCCAGGGAGUAGCACUAUUAGGAGGUGUGGCCUUGUUGAAGUAGAUGUGGCCUUGUUGGAGGAAGUUUGUCACUGUGGGUGUGGGCUUUAAGACCCUCAGUUUAGCUGCCUGAAAGUCAGUCUUCUCCUGUUUGCUUUCAGAACAAGAUAUUGAACUCUCAACUCCUCCUGCACUAUGCCUGCCUGGAUGCUGCCAUGCUCCAACUUGAUGAUAACAGACUGAACCUCUGAACCUGUAAACCAGCACCAAUUAAAUGUUGUCCUUAUAAGAGUUGCCUUGGUCAUGGUGUCUGUUCACAGCAGUAAAACCCCAACUUAGACAUCAGACUUGCAUGUCAAGU